rnacentral:rRNA from 1 species
GAUGAACGCUGGCGGCGUGCCUAAUACAUGCAAGUCGAGCGAACGGACGAGAAGCUUGCUUCUCUGAUGUUAGCGGCGGACGGGUGAGUAACACGUGGAUAACCUACCUAUAAGACUGGGAUAACUUCGGGAAACCGGAGCUAAUACCGGAUGAUAUUUUGAACCGCAUGGUUCAAAAGUGAAAGACGGUCUUGCUGUCACUUAUAGAUGGAUCCGCGCUGCAUUAGCUAGUUGGUAAGGUAACGGCUUACCAAGGCAACGAUGCAUACCCGACCUGAGAGGGUGAUCGGCCACACUGGAACUGAGACACGGUCCAGACUCCUACGGGAGGCAGCAGUAGGGAAUCUUCCGCAAUGGGCGAAAGCCUGACGGAGCAACGCCGCGUGAGUGAUGAAGGUCUUCGGAUCGUAAAACUCUGUUAUUAGGGAAGAACAUAUGUGCAAGUAACUGUGCACAUCUUGACGGUACCUAAUCAGAAAGCCACGGCUAACUACGUG